AUUGAUAAAUUGAAUAUGUACAUUUAUAACAAAAAAAUAAGAUUUUGUUCUAUUCUAUUUACAAACCUAGAAUAGAAUUGUUAUUAUACAAUCUCUCUUUUUUCUAUCUCUCACUCUAUCAUUCUUCCCGAUCUCUAUCUAUAAAUCCCUCUAUCAUUUCUUCUGAAUCAAUAUUUCUCUUUUUUCUCUAUCUUUUUCUUUCUCCCUCUCUCCCUCCCUCUCGGUAUCCCUC
rnacentral:lncRNA from 1 species